UACGUAGGGUGCAAGCGUUGUCCGGAAUUAUUGGGCGUAAAGAGCUCGUAGGCGGUCUGUCGCGUCUGCUGUGAAAACCUAGGGCUUAACUCUGGGCGUGCAGUGGGUACGGGCAGGCUAGAGUGCGGUAGGGGAGACUGGAAUUCCUUGGUGUAGCGGUGAAAUGCGCAGAUAUCAGGAGGAACACCGGUGGCGAAGGCGGGUCUCUGGGCCGUAACUGGACGCUGGAGGAGCGAAAGCAUGGGGGAGC
rnacentral:rRNA from 1 species